rnacentral:rRNA from 1 species
GGCAUCCUAAUACAUGCAGUCGAAAAUGCUACCCUAACGAGUUCUUGUCUCCAUUGUAAAGAGGUUGACGGACGGGUGUGUAACACGGCCGGGAACUACCUCUCGAGGGGGAUAACACCUGGAAUCAGGUGCUAUUCCGGCUUAAGAGUUUAUGCUGCAUGCCGUAAUACUGAAAGGCGCUUUCUUUUGUAGAUUUUGGAUGCCCCCGCGGUGCAUUACCUAGUUGGUGUCCCAAUGGCUCACCAGGGCCACCCUGGAUAUCCGAGGUGAGAGGGUUUUCGGCCACCCCGGGACUGAGACAGGUUGGAGACUCCUACGGGAGGCAGCAGUCCGGAAUAAUCGGCGAUGGACAAAAGUCUGACUGAGCUACGUCGCGGGAUUAAACAAAGUUUUCGGAACGCAAAAUUAUGUUGACCAAGAACAACCUGGACGUUUGUAACUGAACGUAAACCGACGUUUUCUGAGUUGAAAGAGGAUGUUAAAUACUGGCCAGGGUCCGCGCUUUGACGNAAGUUGAAAACCCUUGUCCCGACUUUUUGGGCGGAACCCGAGCACUCGCUGUUUUCUUAAAUCUUAUGGGGAAGCCCCCCCCGCAACCUGGGUAAGUCAUUUUGAUUCCGGAAUACAUGGGGGAAAACCAACCAAAAUGUAAUUCCCCUUUGUUUACGGGGAAGGGCCUACAAAGUUUGAGAAACCGCUUUUGGCCCCAAGCGGUUUUUUUGGUCUGUACAGUUACAGACCUAAAAACCCCCGUGGCCCAAGGGGGUUUUCAUACUCUUGUCACCCCUCUCCCCCCACCAAUGGGGGUUANUUUUUUAUGUUUUUCCCCCCAUUCUCCCCAGUUCCAAAGAACCUAACCCCGUUUGAGGCGGGGGGGUUUCCCCCCCAAAUUUAAGAAAACAACGAGUUCGUCGGUUUUCCCCCCCAAAAAGCAGGAGAAAGCA